AGUGAACGCUGGCGGUAGGCCUAACACAUGCAAGUCGAACGGCAGCACAGUAAGAGCUUGCUCUUACGGGUGGCGAGUGGCGGACGGGUGAGGAAUACAUCGGAAUCUACUUUUUUGUGGGGGAUAACGUAGGGAAACUUACGCUAAUACCGCAUACGACCUACGGGUGAAAGCAGGGGAUCUUCGGACCUUGCGCGAUUGAAUGAGCCGAUGUCGGAUUAGCUAGUUGGCGGGGUAAAGGCCCACCAAGGCGACGAUCCGUAGCUGGUCUGAGAGGAUGAUCAGCCACACUGGAACUGAGACACGGUCCAGACUCCUACGGGAGGCAGCAGUGGGGAAUAUUGGACAAUGGGUGCAAGCCUGAUCCAGCCAUACCGCGUGGGUGAAGAAGGCCUUCGGGUUGUAAAGCCCUUUUGUUGGGAAAGAAAAGCAGCAGGUUAAUACCCCGCUGUUCUGACGGUACCCAAAGAAUAAGCACCGGCUAACUUCGUG
rnacentral:rRNA from 1 species